GACGAACGCUGGCGGCGUGCUUAACACAUGCAAGUCGAACGGUGAAAGAAGAGCUUGCUCUUCUGGAUCAGUGGCGAACGGGUGAGUAACACGUGAGUAACCUGCCCCAGACUCUGGAAUAAGCGCUGGAAACGGCGGCUAAUACCGGAUACUAGACAGAGCUGCAUGGCUAUUGUCUGGAAAGUUCUUCGGUCUGGGAUGGACUCGCGGCUUAUCAGCUUGUUGGUGAGGUAACGGCUCACCAAGGCAACGACGGGUAGCCGGCCUGAGAGGGCGACCGGCCACACUGGGACUGAGACACGGCCCAGACUCCUACGGGAGGCAGCAGUGGGGAAUAUUGCACAAUGGGCGAAAGCCUGAUGCAGCGACGCCGCGUGAGGGAUGACGGCCUUCGGGUUGUAAACCUCUUUCAGCAGGGAAGAAGCGAAAGUGACGGUACCUGCAGAAGAAGCACCGGCUAACUACGUG
rnacentral:rRNA from 1 species